rnacentral:rRNA from 1 species
GAAUUCACUAGUGAUUCAGGCCUAACACAUGCAAGUCGAGCGGGAUCUUGCUAAAUGACGCUUCGGUUGAUUUUAGUAAGUGAGAGCGGCGGACGGGUGAGUAACGCGUAGGCAACCUGCCCUUUGCAGAGGGAUAGCCAUUGGAAACGAUGAUUAAAACCUCAUAAUGCCAGACUGAGACAUCUCUAACUGGCCAAAGAUUUAUCGGCAAAGGAUGGGCCUGCGUCUGAUUAGCUAGUUGGUGGGGUAACGGCCUACCAAGGCGACGAUCAGUAGCCGACCUGAGAGGGUGAUCGGCCACAUUGGAACUGAGACACGGUCCAAACUCCUACGGGAGGCAGCAGUGGGGAAUAUUGCACGAGGGGCGAAAGCCUGAUGCAGCAACGCCG